CCGGUGACCAAAUGAUAAAACCAUUGCUGCUUUGUAAAGACCCUAAUCCCACAUGUCUUUUGGAAAAAGAUAAAAACCGCCUUCCUGUAUUCUGGAGUUCACACCCCAAACCGCUGCCCUCUUUUUGGAUUGGUUUCAUAAUUGUUUUAUUCAUCAGGCUGGGAGUUAUUUAAUAGAAAAAAAAAAUCUUGAGUUCAGAGUGUUGGCUAAUUUUGGACAGAGGUCCCAAUCGCCCAGACUCAUUUUUGGUUGCUCAUCUUAAUGUUGAUACUGUGUUUCUCCCCCUGGAAGGCACAAGCUGUCUUCAGCCCUUGGAUCAGGGUAUAAUUGAAGCAUUCAGGAGGUAUUACACCAAGCGUAUGUUUUACCACUUUGUUGACUGUAUUGAAAAAAACCCUUGUCUUACUUUGAGAGGAACAUGGCAACCGUACAACAUUGCUGAUGCUUUGGUAGUGAUAAAAGAGUCAAUGGAUGAUAUAAGACCAGCUGCUCUUAAUAAAGCCUGGUGGAAACUUUUGGAUGAUGUUGUGAAUGAUUAUGCAUGUUUCCCUAGAGGUAAUGAAGAAGUUGCAAAAAUCAUGGAGUCUGCAACAUGGAUGGACUUUAACUUCAUUGAUAGCGAACAGGGGGAAAUUAAUGAGGUGCUCAAGUUUCAAGCUUUGUUCAUAACCGAAAGAGAGUCUAUAUCAAUAAAUAUGGAAGAAGACAAGACCCUGGAACUAGAGGUAAAGAUGAAUCUAAGGAAACUGAAUGCUUUCUUAUGCCAGGCCUCAGACCUCAUUGAUGCUGCAAAGGAUAGGGAUCCUUUCCCGUAUCGAAGUUUGGCCUUUAAAAAAGACUUCAAUAAAUUGUUAUAUACCUGUAAAGAGGUGCAAGAGAACCUUCAAAAUAAAGCAAAGGUGUUGAACAAAGAAGACACAAAGAGGAGGUAGUGUGGGUGUAGAAGAUGGAUACAAAAUCUGAGUCUGAAGGGGAGUCUGAAUCUGAAUCCCAAAAGGAGGAGAAGGUAGAGACAGAGAAAGAGGAUAAGAAGCCUCCAGAAGAAGAUCCUGGACCCUCAGGCGUUGGCGCUGAGACUUACUGUAUCUGAAGACUCUGCCGAAGCUAUAAAUGCAGAAUUGGAUUUUUGGAAUCUAACCUUAGAAUUGAAUCUGGAGAGAGUAGAAGUGCCUGAGUUGAAGAAGUGAAUCCAGAGGCAUUUUCUUCCAAAUGAUGAUUCAUGUCUUGCCAUUCUUCCUCUCUUGUUCCAACAUCACUUUCAUCAUGACCAUGCUUAUCAUCAGCCACGCAUCUAUAUUGUUUCAUCAUUCCACAAACAUUUACUGAGCAUAAGCUAUGUGGGGUCCCAUGCUAAACUUGGGGACAUGAUCUCAGGAAGCCAUCUCAGGAUCUAAGAUCCUGGCAGCUUCUUUCCUGUCCUAUCCAGUGCUCAGGACCCUUAGCCUGCAGCUCCAUUCAGCUAUCACCGGCAGCUACGUAUCCGGCACUUACUCCAUCGUCUUUGUCAACUGUCCCAACGAGCAGAUUGCCAGAGAUAUUGCCAGUCGUGCUUGUGGGGAAGUGCAGAGUGGCUGCAAGAACACGCAGCGCUGUCUCCAGUGUGAGUGCGCACUGGGGGGACGUUCACCUGGCCGGGGUGUCCUACUGACUGGUCUUCCGGCACACUUUCCGCUCCUGCCUGGGGACAGACACUCCAUUACUGCUGCCUGGGCCCUGGGAGAUUUUGGGGGUCCGCCUCUGCGGCGGCGUCCCAGCUACCCACCUUGGUGGUUGCCUCCGCGUUCCUGCCUGCUCUGGUUCCCGUCCCCUUCAGACGGGGACUGUUGCUCUCGUCUCCCGUGGCAGCUCCCCUGCACGCUCCCAUUCGUGUCUUAGGACUGCCCUUUCUUCUUUGGGGCUUCCCCACAGUUGUUGGUACGCGGCAUGUUCUUACCAUGUGCUGGCAUGGCUGAGCAACAGGUAUUUCCUGUCGCUUCUAGGCUUUGGUGUCAAAGGGGAGGAUGGAGUAUCUGUCUAGUCUGUCCGGUCGGACUGGAAGUCUCAAGUGGAGCCUUUAGGGAUGUGGCCGUGGAGCUCUCACUCAACCUAUUUUGUUUGGUAUUUUUUAUUAGUGGUUUGGAUAGAAAAGAGGCAGCCAGGUGUAGUUUCCAGGAUUUGUAGAAGCAGAGUAGAUGGUACGUGAUGGGGAGGGCCCGUCACCAGGAGCAGGCAGGAAGCCCAGCCUGAGCUACAGAACCAGCAGCGAGACCGCGUCUCUCAACUUCAGGGCUAUACUGGAUAAGAAGCUGGCUGCCUCUGUGAACAUCCUGCCCAAGGCAUCCUCACUGUACUUUUGGAAUGGAGAAAUAGAAGAAGCCACUGAAAUCCUGUUGCUAAUAAAGACAAAGACUUGCAAGGUCCGCAUGCUGUUCAGCUAUAUCAGGUAAUGCUGGUGUGUCUGUUCAGCCAGGGAUGUCCUGGGAACUAAGUGAAUGAGCUUGAAAAGCAAGAGACCUAGAGCCUAGUCACCAACCUCUCAUAUGACCCUGGGCAUGUCCCUGUCCCUCAGAUUCUCCAGCUAUAAAAUGAGAGGCUAGAGUGAGUGAAUGGAGACAGUAGUUCUCAAGAUUUUGGUCUUCGGAUCCCAGGGGAGCUUAAGGUUAUGUUAAAGUUUAUUGCAUUAGAAAGUAAAACUACGAAAUUAAAAAAAAUGUUUUAGUUCAUUUAGAAUAAUAACAAUACAACUGUUCUAUAUAGACAUAAGUAAUACAUUUUUAUGGGAAGUAACCAUAUUUUCCAAGAAACAAAGUGAGAAAAAUGGCAUUUUAUAUUUUGGCAACAUCUGGCUUGUUGAGAAGGCUGCGUCUCCUCAGAAAACAUACUCCCUCUUAAGUACUGGGACACUUUUACGCUCAUGAUGAUAAACUCAAACUUUCAAACUUCUAAUUUUUGCUUGAAAACAUGAAUUUUUUUCCUCAACAAAUGGUAUCAGUUGUCUUCAUUUGAGUGAUCGGCUCACUUUGUUCACAUUAGAGAAAAACAUCUGCCUAAUGCUCAAACCACAGUAACCAGCAUUGUAAACAUGACAGACAAAUUAUGGUCACUCAGGCUUGAAAUUAAAAAUGGUGUUCCAUGAAAAAAAGUGCAGUUUGUUUAGUUUGGCCUGUGGCUUCAAUGGGCAGACAGGUUUAAGACAACAUUGAACUUCAGUAUCCGGCAGAAGUGCUUUAAUGUGCACUUUCCAUUUCGUCAUUAAUGAGACAGGGACUCCAGGGCUGAAGUGCAAUAGCAAUAGCGAUCUUCGCUGUUUUAUUGAGGAUGUUCUUGAGUGAACGUGACUUUUCUGAAGCCCGAGCGUGCGGUGGAGAAGAGCACCGUGAGGCUCAUACACUGUGGUGCCACUGCCUUGCCGCGUGCUGAGGUGCCAGCAGUCUUACUCGGCAUUGUUUUGCACCAGCAGUGCAGGGGUCAACACAGUAAGAAGAUUAAUAGAAAAUUAGUAUUUUUCGGGGCGCCUGCGUGGCUCCGUUGGUUAAGCAGCCGACUUCGGUUCAGGUCAUGAUCUCGCAGUUCGUGGGUUCGAGCCCUGCAUCCCACUCCGUGCUGACAGCUCUGAGCCUGGAGCCUGCUUCAGAUUCUGUGUCUCCCUCUCUCCCCUCCCCGCCCCCCCCCCCACUCUCUCUCUCUCUCUCAAAAUAAACAUUAAAAAAAAGAAAACUAGUAUUCUUCUGAAAACAGUUUUGGCCUCAUGGACCUGGCAGAGUGUUGGAAUUCCCCAGGGGUCAGUGGGCCUCACUCUGAAAACUGCUGGUCUAGAUUGGUGUUCACGGUAUGGUUUGGGGAGUAAUUGGCAUCACCUGGAAGCUUGCUAGGACUGCCUCCUCACUGUCACCCCAAACUAAGGAGUCAAACUACAGUUUAACAAGAUCCCCAUGGGAUUCCUACGCACGUUAAAGCUCGAGAAGCGCUGGCUUAAAUCAUUGAUGCUUGGGGCGCCCGGGUGGCUCAGUUAAGUGUCCGACUUCAGCUCAGGUCACGGUCUCCUGAUUUGUGAGUUCCAGCCCUGCAUUGGGCUCUCUGCUGUCAGCACAGCUUCGGAUCCUCUGUCCCCCCUCUCUCUCCACCCCUCCCCAACACAUGUGUGCUCUCUCUCUUCCUCUCAAAGGAAAAAAAAAAUCAGUGAUUCUUGGUGGUGGCAUGGCAGCUCUUACUACUAAUGUGUUAAAACGGUCUUAUUCUGUGUAUCCAAAUACUGCCUUCAUACACACACUGAGUUCUGUAUGUCUGCUAAUAAAAACACAUACGUGAGGGAGCUCCUUUUCUGUUUGCUAGAGGGGAUGCUGCCUGGUUUUUGAAUCAUUGAAUAAACCCAAUAAGAUCUUAAAAAAAAAAAAACAACAGAAAACAAACACACUGAUGUGUGCCCUGAAAUAAGAAAAUGCAUUAUCCUUGGUCACUGGAUAAAAUCACCCCAACUCCAAAUGUUUAGGCACGCGUGCAUGUGUUGUGAUUUACUAUGCAUGCUGUCUCAUGAAAAUUUUACAGUGCCUCCUUCAUUGGAAAGGAAGCAGGGAUUGUUCCCCGCAUUUGACAGAUGGGGGACUGAGGCCCAAGGCCUCAUAUCUCUUCAGUCUAAGAAGCGAAAAGAACUUGCGUUGUGUGCCGAGGGCCAGGUGAAAGGAAUGGAGAGAAAGAAGAGCUUCCUAUGGGUUUGGAUGGUCGAGGAAGAUCCCUGGAAGAUCAGUGGUUGAGCUGGGCUUUGAAGGAUAGACGGGCUUGUAAGUGAUGAACAGAGAACUUUCUUGGAGGAGAAGACAAUGCAGAGAUACGGGGAGUCGUUUGGGGAAGGCACAGCGAUGAGCGUGGGAUAGUGAUACAGACAGUACCUGCCAUGUAAUGAAUGCAUGCAGUGCCCAUCGGUACGCCAGGUAAGUGCCUUCUGUGCCUUGUCUCACUCCCCAGCAGCCCAGUCACAUAGGUACUAUUUUGACACCCUUUUUUUAGGGCCUGUGGAGAAAUGAAGUGAUUUGUGCACGGUCACACAGCUACAAGAGGCAGGCUUAGAAUUGGAACCCAUGACCGGGAGACUCUAAAGCCAUCUGGCCCACCUCAUUCCUUGUUGACAAAUGGGAAACAGGCUCAGGAGCAGCGGCCCAUGGGCCUGGGCAGGUGGACCGAGGUAGAUGGUGGUAGAUGGCAGCCUCACAGGAGGCUGGCCGGUUGGGUUUAACUGCAUAGGCUGAUUCCCAUCAUAGUCACUCACAGGGCUCUGCUUUCUUUCCAAAGGUUGGUGCAUCCUUUUGAAAUCCCAGAGGUCUUCAGUCUUCCCAUGGACCAAGGAGAUGUGCGCUAUCUAAAGUGGCUGGAGGAGGGCACAGGGGAGGACUGAGUGGGGGCGGCUCGUUGCAGGUCCCGCCGGCUGCCUCUAGCCUGCAGCAGCCGCCCUCUGGGGAGGCGGGGGGCCUCUAGCUGCCUCCUCGAAUCUCUGGAGCCUGUGUCUGUGUCAGCGAGGAAGAGCUGAGGAACUUGAGGAGGUGAAGGUCUGAGGCCCCCAAGGCUGGAGGAGGAGGCCAGGUUGGUCGGGCCAUGCAACGCAAUGGAACUGGAUUCUGAGUGCCUCAUGCUUAAAGGUGGCCAGGGGGUGGGAGGGUGAGGGCAGUUAUAUGGGGGGGGGGGGGGGAGGGCCCAGGGGAGAUGGCAGUGAGGGUGACGUUCGUCAUCUCCUGCAGUUACUGGGCCUACCUUGGGUGCCCAGGAUGCAGGAAGAAGACCUGGUGACCUGUUCAUCCGGUGUGUGGGAUGAAUGUCACUUUCUAGGGGAGCUGGCAAGCACUUUAUCCAAAAGGAUGAAAUGCUAAUGGUGGGGUUUCAGGGACAAGCAGGGUUAUUUUUUGUAACUAAAGAUGGUAUUUGUUAUUCCUGAAUGUGGGAAUGGGCUUUGUGAUUGGGGAUAGGACUGCAGGAGUAUUAGGGCUUAGACACAGCUUCGUGGGUGGAAAUAGGUCUAGACUCCUCCUAGCCUGAACGUGACAGGUAUCAGAAGGUUCUGGUGCCUUGCUCAUUAGAGACCUAGGUUCUGAGCCCAUUGUACUAACCUGGUCACUUGAGCAUUGAAACUGAGCAUCCUAAAGUAGGAAAGAACCUUGGGGAGGGUUUUUCAGACUUGCUCCCCCGAGCUAGCGGUCAACAGAAGGUACAGUACCCUGGGUGCUUCCUGGGUGGGGUAAGGGUAUGAGACCCGCUCCCCACCCGUACUUCAACCAAUAUAUACCUCAACCAGUAGAACUGUCUUGUAUCACUUUUAUGUAUUGAACUCCCUUGUAAGUUUUUUUGAGUUUUCUUUGAUAAAAGCUGGUAAACCAGG